CAGCACGAGCAAUUCGGCUACCUGGAUUAACUUUACCUGAAUUACCACCUCUACCUUCAGUCACAUUGCCAACUCUACCUCCAGUCUCAUUGCCACAUCUAAGAGUACCACCUCUACCUUCAGUCACAUUGCCAACUCUACCUCCAGUCUCAUUGCCACCUCUAAGAGUACCACCUCUACCUUCAGUCACAUUGCCAACUCUACCUCCAGUCUCAUUGCCACCUCUAAGAGUACCACCUCUACCUUCAGUCACAUUGCCAACUCUACCUCCAGUCUCAUUGCCACCUCUAAGAGUACCACCUCUACCUUCAGUCACAUUGCCAACUCUACCUCCAGUCUCAUUGCCACCUCUACCUCCAGUCACAUUGCCACCUCUUCCACCUGUUCCAGGUUUGCCAUCUCUACCACCGGUUUUGCCAUCUCUACCAC
rnacentral:lncRNA from 1 species